AUGCCUUUGCUGUGCAGGAUACAUGCCUUUGCUACAGAUUUGUUACUUGGAAAGUGUAAAAACCAAUUCAGUGAAAUAACUGAUUCUGGCAGUGGACCAACUUUGAACAAUAUGUUCAAAUAUAUACAUUUUACUCUGAAUUUGGAAUUGACAAUAUUAUGUCUACAUAUAGUCAGGUAAGAAUUCAAUUUUUAAGAAUAUUCUUUCUUUUUAAUAAUUUACUAUAUAGGAGCAAAGCUAUUUGUGAAAAUAUGAAUUCAGCUUAGGUCCACUUUAGUUGUCUAUAUGGUAUAAGUGGGAACUGUUAAUGAAAACUUCCGUAUGUAUUGAAGGUACUGUGGAUAUAUUGUUUCUUUAGGUUGUCUUGUGUAUAAUAUGAUUGAUUAUUUAAUUAUGGAUCAGAAUUUAAAAGCCCAAAUUCCUUCCCAUGAUUUUAUGUGUUCAUGAGGUGAAAUUUUUGGUUUGGAGUACAACCAACAUCUUAAAAGUUAUCAUCCUGCAACUCAUAAGUCAAGAGAAUAUGGAGCAGUGAUCACCAUAUACACUUUUAAAAUAGGAGCAGAAAUAGAUUAUGGAUGAAAUUUUGAACUCAGUCUCAAACUUCAAUCAGUAAUUUAUUCACUUUAAAUCAAGAAAAGAAAAAAAUGCCUUUCAUAGUUUCUGAGUGACUAAAUACAACACAAUAUUAUUUUAAUUGCUAUAGAAUUGACAUAUUUGCAUGAUAGUUUUAUUCUGGUCUGCUAUUUAUCCAUCUUUUAAAAAUGGUUGUAAAUGAAAAUUUUAUGUCAUUGCACUUUUUAAAAUUGAAAAUCUCCAUUUUCUUGUUUAUAGAUACAUGUUUUCUCUCUGUUAGGGCACAUAAAGAGAUUUUAAAAAUAAUGAAAGUAUUUCUACAAUCCAGAAGAUUGGACUAACCCGGUUCUUCUUGAAUAUGUGACAGUUAGGGAGGUAGUUAAGAGGAAGAAAAGAGCAAAGGAUCCAUUUGGAUUGGGUUUGGCCUUCAUUACCUUCAUAUUAAAGAAGUGCCACAUUUUCUGUGCUUUUUAAAAAAAACAUUUUACAUGUUUUUUUCUAACAGAAACUUUGGUUAUACUAUCAAAGUGCAGCCCCCCCAACAUUAACGCUUCUCUGAGACUGAUAAUAUGGAAGUUUCUCAAAUAUAACUUUUAAAAUAAUAUUUGCCACAAAGUAUGUUGACAACUCAUACAGAACCUUCUGCUUGCCAUAAAUCAAAUGUUUUACAGUUCUGCUAGAUAGUAUUUAAUAUUAUUUGUGGUAGUUUUUCCAUUACAGUAUUUCAUUUUCUAUCUUGUGGUAUGACAUCAAUUCCCAAAUAGCCUCUGUUUUGCAAAAUGUUUCAUCUCCAACAUAUUGAACAUUAUCUGUAUUUUUUUAAAAGAUAGUCUUUUGGCUAGCAAAGAAGAUGAAUAAGGAUGUGGAAGGAUUGCAAAGUGGAAUUUUUACAUAGGCACAAAUCACAAUUGCUAAAAUAGUUAUGAAAAUGUUUCCCCCUAAUAUGGAAUCCAGUGGUCAGCAAAUGAUUUAAGAGAAAAAUAAUGUGCUUUUUUGUUUUUAAUGUUUUAUGGCCAACCUAUGCCUUUUCCUAUGCUAUUAUUGGAAAAAUGUCUGGAUUUGGUGAUUUCCUAAUAUGUAUCAGUGAUUGUAUGAUUUUAUUAGUAUAGUUAUAGCUUCUAACAACUACAAUCAUGUUAUAUAACUUGAAAGCUUUAAUGAGUUUUCAAAAAUAAUUUGAAGUUUUUAUUUGCUGCAUUAGGGCAAUGAAGUAUAUUUGUGUUACAGUUUAUCUCUUGAUUAAUGCCUGUGAUUUAUGGCAAGAGAAGUUUCUUGUAAUAGAAAAAUUUUCAGUCAGCCAAUGUCAAAAUGAUAUUUAUUCAUGCAUAUAACCAUUCUAAGUUUUUCAAAUUAAAUGACCCAGUAAUGGUAUCCACUCAUACAAAAUCAAUUUGAGGAAGAUUUGUUUUUUUCAUCUGUGCUAGGAAUUCUAUGACUAAAUGUUAACACUCUUAGGUUGAGUUUUUCUAUAAUGUACUAUAUUUAGAAUAAUUUUGAGCAUAGUUUUUACAUGCUCAGUUUAAGCCUAAUAGAUCAUUCGUUGUUCAGAAGUGAAUGCCAGUAAUUAGUGAUACUUAAAAGACCAAGCAAACCAACACAAAAAAGCCUUUAUUAAACAAAAAGAAUUCACCUCAAGUUUGUAAAAAUAGGUGCUUUGGAAAGAAUGUCCUAUGCUUUGUGUUCAGUAAUAUGGGUAGUAAAAUACUUAACAAGGAGUCUACAAAGCAUAUUUUAAAUUGC
rnacentral:lncRNA from 1 species